CUCCGCCGGCGACCGGCGCACGGGUGAGUAACACGUAUGCAACCUGCCCCUGCCAGGGGGACAACCCGCCGAAAGGCGGGCUAAACCCGCGUACAUGCCACCGGGGCAUCCCGGAGGCAGGAGAGGCUUCGGCCGGACAGGGAUGGGCAUGCGGCGCAUUAGGCAGUAGGCGGGGUAACGGCCCACCUAACCGACGAUGCGUAGGGGUUCUGAGAGGAAGGUCCCCCACACUGGUACUGAGACACGGACCAGACUCCUACGGAAGGCAGCAG
rnacentral:rRNA from 1 species